rnacentral:misc_RNA from 1 species
GCAAACUUGGUCAUUUAGAGGAAGUAAAAGUCGUAACAAGGUUUCCGUAGGUGAACCUGCGGAAGGAUCAUUAACGAGUUUUGAAAGCGUGGGGGAUUGAUGCUGGCCUUCCGAGGCAUGUGCUCGUCCCUCGCUCAUCCACUCAUCUUUAACACCUGUGCACCGUUGAGGCGUGGCCCCCCUUGGAUGGAGCCGUUCCCCCCUUCCCACAAAGGAGGGGGUCGAGCCGGGGUCAGGCCUUCUUAUCACAAACAACUUGAAAUGUCUAUACGGAACGUGAUGUUUUUUUUAUAUGUUAAUGAAACAAUACAACUUUCAACAACGGAUCUCUUGGCUCUCGCAUCGAUGAAGAACGCAGC